CUUCAUAAAACUAGACUUCCCCGAUGGAUAGUCUUCAGACGAGCCUCCACAUCAGGCAAAUCUCAGAUGGACUUUUCUAGCAAUCAGACUCCUACCCGACUUUGCCAAGAAAAAAUCUCCAUCCGAGCUUCUACAGUAGAUGACUCCCACCUGUAGCGUCAGCGCCCGAGGCAUCCGACAACAGUAGACUCGUUAGCAACCUUGGAACAUCCGAGCUUCUUCU
rnacentral:lncRNA from 1 species